rnacentral:lncRNA from 1 species
AAAAAAUAUCGAAGUCACAUUUAAUUUCCUAAUGGAGGAGAUUUUACUCAACUGCACGAGGAAAAAUCCACAACUGAAUUUUCACGGACUGAACGAACAGUAUUCUCGCUUUAUCGAAAUAAGAAAUAUGAAAUAAUCCGAUGUGCCAGUCCCAUCGUUGCUUCAUUAUUAUGAGACUUCGGUGACUUGGUUAUAUUCAACAUUUUGGAAAUGGAUAUCUGUCAUAUAUUGCCUAAAUUUCCAGGCAUAUAUGAAUUUUCCCAUUCUUAUCCUGUCGUCAUUUCUAUAUCAUUGAGGACGGCAGAAUGGAAUCUAAUCUAACAACUUGGGCCGGAUAACAAUGUGGACCCAACAAUAUUUUGGCAAUGAGCUUCGAGGGUGGACCUACCGACCGAAGAAAGCGAUAGAAAAACGUUGAUCGGAAAACGAUGGAACGAAUUUUCCAUAAUUCAGAUCCAACGGAUUAGUCACUGUUGAGACUUUCAGAGAUUCCCGGAAACCUUUUCCAGCAACCCUCAUAUACUGUUCCUGGGAUUUUUAGGGGGUUGGGAAUAGUCAGACAUUGUAAAGAAUUCAUUUUUUGGCAUUCUAUUGAUGCAUAUCUCGAAGAUUUCAAAAGUUAAUCUAAUAGAUCAUUCUCAAGAUACCCUACAUUUAUUCAAGGGCUUUCUGACCCUCGACCGCGAAUAAAACGACUGGAGAGAUUUUAAGGAAAUUUAUGUGAUUUAUCGAAAGCAUAAAAACUCAAUCGUUGGAUUUUUUUUUCAUAACUCCGUUUUCCACAAUACACUAGUGCUUUUCAUUGGAAAUAAGCGAUUAUUCUUCCAGGACCUGGCGUUUAAUCGAUUUUCAGAAAAGCUUCGAUUUAGCACUAGAUCGACUAACAAACUAAUAUUUUUGUUCGUUUCAUUGAUGUUAGAUGGAUCUGUGAAUGUUUUGAUGAUCUCGCAAAGCACUAUUUGUGGGAAAAGGUCCAUCGAGGGAGGCGGUAAAUUAAUUUACAGAGUCAAUACUUUUAUUUUUAACUUUGAUCAUGUGAAGUUAAAACAUGAUGUAAUAACUCUGUUUCAUUAGUAUCAGAAUUUUUUGUAGAAAUUUGUAAAUCAUUUUCGAUGACAAAUCCGGAGGAUUAUUGUAUUCGUGAUAACAUAAAAGGAAAGAAAGAAAACUCGUGGAGUUCAUCGCUGCCCGAACGUGGAGAACAAGAGUUUUCCCUUUUCGAUAUUUCAUUAAAAAUCUCAUAGACAACAAUUAAUUUGUCAGAAUUUUGAUCGAACAUCGAUGCACGAAUAUUCGAGGAAGAAAAUUAAAAAAAUUGUUAGUGAAUUUAACGGAAGAAAACACAACUUUUAACUGUCUUAAACAUUUUCCUGAAAUCUAACAGCUCCCCAUUGUUUGUAAUUCUCUAUAUUUAGCCUCCUGAUAGUACGACUGAAAUAACAAAGCGAAGAAAAAUUGCACAAAUCAGAGAUUAGUUCAAUAUCUUUUCAUAUUCAAAUAAACUUGCAGAAUGAAUAACGAUCUAUUAACUUCUUGCAAACUCUUGCCUCGAUGUUUUCCCUAAAUGCAAUUCUUUUUAAUUUUUAUGAUUUUCGAAAUUGUAAACAAAUAAUUGGAGUAAACUUUUUACUAGAUCCCAGUGGUUUGCAAAAGGCUGAAGUAUUAUCUAUCGAAGGACGAUCGAAAAGUGAAAUAAUAAAACUUGUGAAAAACCAUAAUAAGAGUUAGACCGAUGGGGAAACAUUUUUACGUACAAAAUUUUUAAUCUUCCGACUCGCGUGUGUUUCAUUUUAUGUAAUAUUUCCGAAUAAUCUCCCAUGUUAUCACUUCGUAAAACUUCUAUUAUUAAUCAAUUAGCUGAUGUGUUCUUGAGCCACAAUUGUUAGUUUGCGUGCACUUGAAAAUUGGCACGUUUAAGAAUUCGCCGUAUCCCGAUACAACAGUUGGUGAUAACAUUGCUUUCAAAUCAGAAGUAUUUUCCGAGUAUUCGGGCGUUAUUGUUAAAAAUGGACUGGGAAAACGAAAUGUGAUUGAAUAUUGUACCUAGAAAUUGAUUAGUCAUCGAUAAUAUUGUUUUACAAACUGGACUAACACGUGGCAAUUGAUUUGUGCUUUCGUAAUUACUCGUCUAAUAAUUUCUCUUUAUUGCUCAUUACUCUUUUCGGUCCUUGGAUAUUUUAUUCUCCUGCCCUCAGCCCAGUUUGCUGAAGAAAACUCGAAGAACUAUAAUAUUAGUUUUUCUAAGUGGAUUCAAUCGAUAAAAGGGCAACGAUUUUUCCUUUAAAUAUUCUCAAUCAAUCGAAAGGAAGCUCAAGUUUGUUCUCUUUACCUGAGCAAUAACUUGACAUGCAUUUUAAAUCCGUUAUUUAUCACCUUGAAACCUAUCCGGAUCGAUUAAUUUAUACUCAUGAACUUAUCACGAAUCAAAAAUAUGAACAGAAGAGAGAACGCACAUUUCUAUAUUUAUUUUUUCAACAUUGAACUAAUGUAGCAAACGGUUAAAUUCUUCUCACAAUUGCCCACUCUAAAUUCGCCAUGAUUGUAAUAUGACAAAUACCAGAAGGUUAAAGUCGGGAAUCCAAGAUCACUCGACUCUCAAAUUCUUGUUGCAUUAGCGAUCUCUUGUCCUAUUUUCUGAUUAAUUGCUUGCUGAUUUCAAUGAUCAUUCAAAUAAGCGAUUUUUUUUACUCGAUCGUUCAGAGUCGUACGAAUAACUGACCAAAAAACCCUCCACAAAUUCUUAUUCGAAAAAGUAUUUUCUCCUGUUUAAAUCUAAAUAAUAUUAAUAAUUGAAAUUUCUGAUAUAUUACGAUGAUUAGAAAAGACAAUCGUUAUAUUCCGGUGGAAAAAAAUGAUUCGGGAUUAUUUGAAGAAUAACGAAAUUCGUAAACGUAAUGCUAUGAACCAAAUUUUAUUUUUUUAUUCGCUAUUAUUGAACGGUCGUUUUUUUCGUUUCACAUUAUUCUAACGAUGUGGACAAUGGUGAAAAUCCAUUAUUUAAAAUACGUAAAGACUAAUCGUUAUGAAAUUUUGUAAGUAUACGUUCUUCGAUUGUGUGCUUGAUAAAAAUGAAUUCUCAGUUUUUUACUUGAUACCAGUUAAACUUAAAUUGCGAUAAUGCAACGAAAUUUUUCUUCGCCAGUGUCGAUUUCGAAGCUACCGAUGUGGCAAAGUUCUAACUGCUUCUUUCUAAAAGAAUUCAACAAUGAUUCAGCGAAAAACGUUUCGUUUUAUUUUUAACAUUGUAAAUGAGCAAAAAAGACUUGCAUCUCAAGGAUGCAAAUGUCAAAGAGAUUUCGUAUUUCGAUGUGGGUGUGAAUUAUCAACUAAAAUCCAAAUAACGAAAAAACGUACGUCGUGGUAAUUUAAAAAUAAAAUAUCGUAACCUUCGCCUAAUGUACAUUCGUUACUUGUGUCCUUUAUUCUUUGCACAGAUCGAAUUCAAAUAAUCUCAAGGAUUCGUGAUGCUCUGUGUACUUACAUAGAAAAAUAAAGUUAACAUCUUCAUUCAUGAA